UACGUAAGGGGCGAGCGUUGUCCGGAAUCAUUGGGCGUAAAGCGCGUGUAGGCGGCUCGGUAAGUCUGCUGUGAAAGUCCAGGGCUCAACCCUGGGAUGCCGGUGGAUACUGUCGAGCUCGAGUCCGGAAGAGGCGAGUGGAAUUCCUGGUGUAGCGGUGAAAUGCGCAGAUAUCAGGAGGAACACCAAUGGCGAAGGCAGCUCGCUGGGACGUGACUGACGCUGAGACGCGAAAGCGUGGGGAGCAAACAGG
rnacentral:rRNA from 1 species